ACGUGACUCUCUAAAGGCAGCCUGUAGCAGCAGAGAGGAAAAUAAAAAGGUAGCCGUUUAGGAAGUUCAGUUAGAAAAAGAAACUUGGAAAUGUCUGAACUCAAGCAAACAAGAACUGAGCAAAGGAAAAGACAGAAGACCAGGAAGAUUUCUUUGCACCGUCUUUUUGGUUUCCACAAAACACUGGAAUCGGCGUAGAAAAACUGCCAUGAGUGUGUGCUGACAGCAGAAUACAAGAGUGAUCUACAAAAACAUGAACGUUAGGGGUGAUGAACAACAUCUGCUUUAAAUAUUCCCAGCUAUGAAGACUGUAUUUUCUAACUUUGUGAUUUUAAGUGAAACCUUUCUUGGACGAUGUUUAUUUCAGUGCCUUUUACACCUUUUAAAAUGCACAAAAAAAAAUAAUUAGUGUAGUAUCUGUAUGUAUAAGUGUUUAAUUAAUAUUUAAAAAUACUGCAUAUAGGAUAAAGUCAUUUAUUUUCAACGUACUCCUCAUUAGUAACAGCCAGCAGGGAUUCUAAGCACAUAAGGAGACAGUUUUAUCUAAAUGUUUCUUAAAAAAAAAAAAAAGUUUUUAAUUCUUGAGCCGUACAUUACUAUUUAUUUAUUCACAUAUUUAUUUACCUCUGAACCACUUAAAGCAGUUUUAAGAAUUUUGAGGGAGUUGGACAUUUUUUAAUAUUUUCUUAUCUCUGAGAUAUGGGAGGAAUUCAGACUGCCGAGAGGAAGCCCAGUGAGCCCAUUUAAAGACUGGCACUGAGCCCAGGGCAACUGUGCUGCGGUUUGAAGUCCCAAAUCUGAGGACUUUCUGUGGUGCCUUGAGGGCUCGCUCUUCUCUAUUAAUGACAUGGACAUCUGGGUCAAAUUAAAGUAAGAAUUUCUUCCCAUUGUCUUCUAAACCACAACAGUUUUACUCUUCUCUUAAUACAAAGUGAACACUUAGUGCAGUUUCUUUCCAUUUUUUCUUGGCAAGCUGUUAACAGAUUUUAUUAGGAGUGUUAAGAUCUCAGGCCGCAAUGUGGCACAGCAGACAGCACUCCUGCCUCACAGAUCCACUUUCUUCAGUCUACAUGGAUGUUCUCCCACCUCCCACAGAUGUGUCUGCUAUUCAUCAAUUUGAAAUGGAGCUCACCGGCCCUGUGAUGUUUUACUGAUUCUUGUCUUGUGCCCAGUGGAACUGAGAUGAGAGGAUUUAGACAGUCAGAGAACAUUAUAUUUACGCCAACUGUUAAAUUAAGAAAACCACUUUAAUUUUAAAUCAAUUAAAAUGUACUGAAUAUUA